UCGGGUCAUGUUUGAACCUAGUGUUAAAGUCAUGUUUGGAACAUAGAAUAUGAAAUGUGCUUAACUUAUAGCAAUGCUUAAGUGUCAUAAAGAGGCACUAAGCAAGGUGAGUGUUGGGACAUCACUUUGAGACAUAGAACUAGACCGUUGGGUUGCUAGUGGCUUUUACCAUGUUAGAGACAUGAUGAUUGGUUACUUGAGACGAUGACUUUGCUUGCUUGCCAUUUGUGCUCAUUCGCAUAUGCUUGUGAGGGUCGCUCCCUACAAGCCGGCACUCCGGAGUUGGCCUACGCGACUUAUGCUCGCCCGUGCGGUAUAGAGAAGCCUACGGGGUCGGGAGUGAUAGACUCAUUUCCAGAGUGAAAAUGCUGAAGCUACCACCGACACUUAGGCGGUGCUAGCCGGACUACAAUCGUGUAGGUCCUAAGACAAGAUUGAGCAUGGACAUAAACUCUUAAAUAUGAAUCACUACUACAUAAAUCAUAGUAGUUGGAUCACUUGGCAUAUUUAUAGUGUGGCUUUGAGAUUUCUGGACAUAUAGUAUACUUGAUAGAAUUGCUUUGCAUCUUAGUAUACUUGGCAGUUAUGAUGAACAUAUUCCCCUUGUAUUGGCAUAUUCACUCAUGAUAGUAUUGAUACACAUCAUGUUUACAUGUGGCGUAGUAGCAUAGCAUUUCAUACAUGCUUUCAAUUCAGCAGCUUGUUAUUGCUUAAUAUUAUCAUUACUUACUCCUUUUCUUUGGGCCUAGUGGUGCAUUGCGCUGAGGUCAGUAAUUGCCCACUGGAAACUAUAAAUUAUAGUUUUCACGCCCUCUGUUUCAUGUUUUUAUUUCAGAGCCUUCCACUCCGGGUGAGGCUAGGGACCGCGAAAAGGGAAUCGCCACGAGCUAGCUUGUGAGCGAGGGACGUUCGAUAGGUGGUCCACCUCUUCUUUGUUUUCUUUUUGGGAGAGGAUGAGAGUUGUACCUUGUAUAGAGACCACCCUUUUUGUAGUAUUUUUGUGAUGACUCUUGUACUGACUUUAUCUUUUCGUUUAGUAGUUUACUUUCCCCUUUCUCUACUUGUCGUUAGUUGUUAGCUGUUAGUAGCUUUGAUAUCUCUAGUGACUUUAUUUCUUCUUGCUUCUAUAUCUCUUUUGUUGUAGACGCCUUAUAUGUGCAGGCAUAUGGCGGGUCUGGGCACGCAUCGGGCGGGCCUAUGCCGGGUCCCGAGGCGUGAUAUUAAGUUGUCAAACAGAAACAAAACAAGAAACAUGAAAUAAGUUAUUGUGAAGGGAAACUUGAACUAAAAUAUUCAUGUAUUUUCAAUAGUCAACAUUAUGUUCUUAUAUAAACCACCAAACCCAUACAUAAGAGUGCUUUAUGAAGUGACCUUUCAAUUUAUAUAUAUUUUUUAGAUCAUAACUACCAAUUAGUUAUCGAUAUCUCUUUGAACGUUAACCGAUAUAUAGGAGUUAAAUUUAAAUAUUUAUAAUGUAAUAGUCAAUUUUGAUGGGCUCAUACUCAAAGGAACGCUAAUAAAAUGUUAGGCAUUACUUAAAAGUUAAUGGUUAACUACUGGUGACAUCAGUAUGAAAUCAUAAAUAUUUAAUUAUUAUUUUAUUUUUUUAUAUAAACAAUAUGUUUAUAUUAAUAUUUUAAUAUUAUGCUUAAUUAUAAAAUACUGAUUUUAGACCAAAUUAAGUAGAUAUAACUUUUUAAGAUUCACUUUUUAUAAGACUAAUAUGUGUUAGUAAAUAACAAAACUGAUUUUACGCCGUUGGAUUUUAAUAUGACUUUAUCAAAAAUAUCUGAUCGGUUUGAUUAAAAUCGGAUGUAACACACUGGACCUUCGCGAAUUGCAAGGUUGGAGCGUUUGAUAUGUGCUCCGAGCUCUUCCAUGCUUGGUGGAGGGUCGUAGACUGUAUUCUGUCCUAGUAGUUCGAAUUCUGAGUUUUGGCUACGUCCUGAGAGUUUAACUCUCGGGGAUUGGUCCCUGGUGGGAGAGACCAGUCCCUAGUAGCACGGGUUGCGGCAGUCGGCCGAGGCAACCGGUCCCCUGGCUAGGGAGACCGGUUCCCGAAUGCGCAGAUUGCGGGAGGGUCCUGAGGGACCGGUCCUUGGUGGGAGAGACCGGUCCCUCUGCCCGAAAUCAGCCCAGUCUGGACUAUGUGAGAGAGGUGAAGUGGAGGGGUUUUGCUGCAAUUGUUACAUCUCUUAGUGUAUGUAGAGGGGGCAGGGCUCUCUCCCUCUCUCAUUUCCCUCACUCCCUUUCCUUUCUUUCUUUCUUUUUCUCUCAAGAAGAAGAAAAAGAAGAAGAGGAAGAGGAUCAAGCUUGGAGGCCUUUGGACAUCUCCUUCUCCCUCUCUUCCCACCUUGCUGAUGCUUGAAGGCUUGGACUUGGGGCUUGUUGGAGAGGAGAUCAUCGCUCUUGGGGCUUGGUUUGGAGCUUCUUAAGAGGUUAGUUGCUCCCUUCUCCUCUCUAGACCUAGAUUUGGUGGUUUUUGGGAGAUAAAACCCUAGAAUGGAAAAUCUAGGGUUUAUUUGUGGCUUUUUGAUUUGAAGCUUUUAGAGCUAAUCUAAUUGGAUUAGAACCUUGGUUUAGGUUGCUUCGGAAGGGAUUUAGCUCCCAUUUGAGCUUUGUAGGGGGAUUUCUACACUAUAGGUGAGGCUUUGGCCUCUUUUGCCUAGAUGGUUAAUGUUUACUCUUGUGGUUGUUCGUUAGCUUCGUGUAGCUCAUUUUUUGAUGCUUCUAGGGUGCUAGGAGGCUAAUGGACACCCCCGUUGGAGCAAACGAAGGGUUGCGUAAGUUUCGGUGGGUUUGACCUAGCCAAAAAUAGGAAAAAUUUUCAUUAUUGGUGAUUUAUGUAUCGUAAAGUGAAAAAUCAUGCAUUUUCAUGCUAGAUGUAUUUAUUAUGAAUUUUAAAAUGCUUAACAUGCCUAUGUUAUGUAUAAUGAAUUUUCGGACCUCUAUGUAGUAGAGAGCUUGUACGUGGGACUUGUGCAUGAGUCUUGGCAUUCUACUUGAGACUUGGAACCUUGUUCCCUUAGCGAAAACGGAAAUUGCAUCACGCCCUUGAACAUUAUGAAAUGAGAUAUGAGCGAUUACCUUAAGCCAUAGAGAGGCUUGGGACUGGUACUAUUUGUGAACGAUUGAGCUAAUGUCAUAAAGGGGCAUUGAGCUCGGGCUAUGAAUGAACCUCGUAUUAAAGCCAUAAAGUGUCCUAGAAUGUGAAAUGUACUUGGGUUAUAGAAAUGUUUAAGUGUCAUAAAGAGGCACUAAGCACAGUGUAUGUUGGAAUUUCGCUCGAGACAUAGAACUGGAUCGUUGGGUGGCUAGUGACUAAUGCCAUGGUAGAGACAUGACGAUUGGGUACUUGAGCUAUUGAUUUUGCUUGCUUGUCAUUUGUGCUCAUUCGCACAUGCUUGUGAGGGUCGCUCCCUACAAGCCGGCACUCCGGAGUUGGCCUACGUGACUUAUGCUCGCUUGUGCGGUAUCGAGGAACCUACGGGGUCGGGAGGGAUAAACUCAUUUCCAAAGUGGGAAUGCUGGAGCUACCAUCGACACUUAGGCGGC
rnacentral:lncRNA from 1 species